rnacentral:lncRNA from 1 species
UCUGGAUAAAUCACCAUCCCCAUGACUAUCCUAAAAUCAGGAGCAAUUUAGGAAUCGAUCAUACAUGCCUUUAAUUCUCAAUAUUUGUGAAUAUAUAUCAUAACAUCAAUUUUAAGGACGAUUCAAAGAUACAUAACACUUGAAUGGAAAAAAAAAAUUAUCUUUUCUUGAUUCAAUAGUUUAAGUACAAAUUUAUAUUAUAGAAUAAAAAUGCGUGAACCAAUAAUUGACUUCUAGGAUAUACAUCUAACAAUCUCUCACUUAGACUAAAGUCAAUUGGCCAUUAAUCUAAACCCCAUCUUCUCAAGAUG